CAGCAGCCACGGGAAUACGUAGGGUGCAAGCGUUAAUCGGAAUUACUGGGCGUAAAGCGUGCGCAGGCGGUUUUGUAAGACAGAGGUGAAAUCCCCGGGCUCAACCUGGGAACUGCCUUUGUGACUGCAAGGCUAGAGUACGGCAGAGGGGGAUGGAAUUCCGCGUGUAGCAGUGAAAUGCGUAGAUAUGCGGAGGAACACCGAUGGCGAAGGCAAUCCCCUGGGCCUGUACUGACGCUCAUGCACGAAAGCGUGGGGAGCAAACAGGAUUAGAUACCCGAGUAGUCCCUGUCUCUUAUAC
rnacentral:rRNA from 1 species